AUUGAACGCUGGCGGCAUGCCUUACACAUGCAAGUCGAACGGCAGCACGGGUGCUUGCACCUGGUGGCGAGUGGCGAACGGGUGAGUAAUACAUCGGAACAUGUCCUGUAGUGGGGGAUAGCCCGGCGAAAGCCGGAGUAAUACCGCAUACGAUCUACGGAUGAAAGCGGGGGACCGUCGGGCCUCGCGCUAUAGGGUUGGCCGAUGGCUGAUUAGCUAGUUGGUGGGGUAAAGGCCUACCAAGGCGACGAUCAGUAGCGGGUCUGAGAGGACGACCAGCCACACUGGGACUGAGACACGGCCCAGACUCCUACGGGAGGCAGCAGUGGGGAAUUUUGGACAAUGGGCGAAAGCCUGAUCCAGCAAUGCCGCGUGUGUGAAGAAGGCCUUCGGGUUGUAAAGCACUUUUGUCCGGAAAGAAAUCCUUGGCCCUAAUACGGUCGGGGGAUGACGGUACCGGAAGAAUAAGCACCGGCUAACUACGUG
rnacentral:rRNA from 1 species